rnacentral:rRNA from 1 species
CAAUAGCGUAUAUUAAAGUUGUUGCAGUUAAAAAGCUCGUAGUUGGAUUUCUGGUUGAAGCGACCGGUCGGGCGUUGAUUCGUCUGCACUGGAGUCGGUUUUGGCCAUCCUCUAGGAAAGUGCGUCUGGUAUUAAGUCAUCGGGCGUAUGAUCCUGGUCUUUUACUGUGAAAAAAUUAGAGUGUUUAAAGCAGGCCUUCGCCUUGAAUACAUUAGCAUGGAAUAAUAAGAUAGGACUUUGGUCUAUUUUGUUGGUUUGCAGACCGAAGUAAUGAUUAAUAGGGAUAGUUGGGGGUAUUUAUAUUCCGAUGUCAGAGGUGAAAUUCUUAGAUUUUCGGAAGAUAAACUUAUGCGAAAGCAUUUACCAAGGAUGUUUNCAUUA